CGCCGACCCCUGGAGGGCCGGGCUGGGCUGGGCGGGGCGGGGCUCCUCUGCGGCUCUGCCCGUCCCCCCUCCUGCCCGCUGCCCU
rnacentral:miRNA from 1 species